GGAAGUGGACAGGUCCUGGUGGGCCUCCUGGACUUCAAAUCCAGUGAUCCCGUUGACCCGGGAUGGUGGGUUCGAUUCCCAUGCACUUCCGCCA
rnacentral:tRNA from 1 species